rnacentral:rRNA from 1 species
GACGUAGGGCGCGAGCGUUGUCCGGAUUUAUUGGGCGUAAAGAGCUCGUAGGCGGCUUGUCGCGUCGUCUGUGAAAUCCCGCGGCUCAACUGCGGGUCUGCAGGUGAUACGGGCAGGCUAGAGUUCGGUAGGGGAGACUGGAAUUCCUGGUGUAGCGGUGAAAUGCGCAGAUAUCAGGAGGAACACCGGUGGCGAAGGCGGGUCUCUGGGCCGAUACUGACGCUGAGGAGCGAAAGCGUGGGGAGCGAACAGG